rnacentral:misc_RNA from 1 species
AAGUCGUAACAAGGUUUCCGUAGGUGAACCUGCGGAAGGAUCAUUACCAAAUCCAAAUACCCUUUAACCCCAUGUGAACUGUUGAUUAGUGUUUUUGUCUUUUGGGAAGAAGGUUUUAGUAGAAAAAAUAAUAAAGAGAUAGUAAAGGGUAGGUUUCUAUUCUUUCUAGUUCUUUUUUUUCUGUCUAUAUUUCUUCCCAGAAGAUAGUAUAAUAUUUAGAAAACUCUUUUUUGAGUUUACUAAUAUAUUAUAAUUAUUAAAAACUACUUAUAAAAACUACUUUGGAAUUUUUUUUUAAAAAUUUAAAUAAAAAACAACUUUUAACGGUGGAUCUCUUGGCUCGU